GACGAACGCUGGCGGCGUGCCUAAUACAUGCAAGUCGAACGCUUCUUUCCUCCCGAGUGCUUGCACUCAAUUGGAAAGAGGAGUGGCGGACGGGUGAGUAACACGUGGGUAACCUACCCAUCAGAGGGGGAUAACACUUGGAAACAGGUGCUAAUACCGCAUAACAGUUUAUGCCGCAUGGCAUAAGAGUGAAAGGCGCUUUCGGGUGUCGCUGAUGGAUGGACCCGCGGUGCAUUAGCUAGUUGGUGAGGUAACGGCUCACCAAGGCCACGAUGCAUAGCCGACCUGAGAGGGUGAUCGGCCACACUGGGACUGAGACACGGCCCAGACUCCUACGGGAGGCAGCAGUAGGGAAUCUUCGGCAAUGGACGAAAGUCUGACCGAGCAACGCCGCGUGAGUGAAGAAGGUUUUCGGAUCGUAAAACUCUGUUGUUAGAGAAGAACAAGGACGU
rnacentral:rRNA from 1 species